CGUCGUUGAGUAGCGCCCGGACUCGCCGGAGGAGGCGGCGAGUCGACGAGGUGGAGGCUUCUCGAAAUAUUCGGCGGAUGGCCUCCCGGCUGGCACGGUCGUGAGGGUCAGGGCAAAACCGCUGAGUGAUCGGCGGCACAAAGACUGGCCCGGUGCGCGUA
rnacentral:ncRNA from 2 species